AGAGUUUGAUCAUGGCUCAGAACGAACGCUGGCGGCAGGCCUAACACAUGCAAGUCGAGCGGGGAGCAAUCCCUAGCGGCGGACGGGUUAGUAACGCGUGGGAACAUACCCUUUGGUACGGAAUAGCCUCGGGAAACUGAGAGUAAUACCGUAUGUGCCCUUCGGGGGAAAAGAUUUAUCGCCAAAGGAUUGGCCCGCGUUGGAUUAGGUAGUUGGUGGGGUAAUGGCCUACCAAGCCGACGAUCCAUAGCUGGUUUGAGAGGAUGAUCAGCAACACUGGGACUGAGACACGGCCCAGACUCCUACGGGAGGCAGCAGUGGGGAAUCUUAGACAAUGGGCGAAAGCCUGAUCUAGCCAUGCCGCGUGGACGAUGAAGGCCUUAGGGUUGUAAAGUCCUUUCAGAUGGGGAGAUAAUGACGGUACCAUCAGAAGAAGCCCCGGCUAACUCCGUG
rnacentral:rRNA from 1 species